rnacentral:rRNA from 1 species
GAUGAACGCUGGCGGCGUGCCUAAUACAUGCAAGUCGAGCGAACGGACGAGAAGCUUGCUUCUCUGAUGUUAGCGGCGGACGGGUGAGUAACACGUGGAUAACCUACCUAUAAGACUGGGAUAACUUCGGGAAACCGGAGCUAAUACCGGAUAAUAUUUUGGACCGCAUGGUUCAAAAGUGAAAGACGGUCUUGCUGUCACUUAUAGAUGGAUCCGCGCUGCAUUAGCUAGUUGGUAAGGUAACGGCUUACCAAGGCAACGAUGCAUAGCCGACCUGAGAGGGUGAUCGGCCACACUGGAACUGAGACACGGUCCAGACUCCUACGGGAGGCAGCAGUAGGGAAUCUUCCGCAAUGGGCGAAAGCCUGACGGAGCAACGCCGCGUGAGUGAUGAAGGUCUUCGGAUCGUAAAACUCUGUUAUUGGGGAAGAACAUAUGUGUAAGUAACUGUGCACAUCUUGACGGUACCUAAUCAGAAAGCCACGGCUAACUACGUG